UUAUGAAACCCAGUUCACUACCUGGCUCAGCAAAAUUAAAGGACCCACCCCUCUAAGAAGGUGAAGGAGGUAGAAUUGUAAAUACUUACCUAAUAGUGCAUGUGUGUGUAUUUCCCAUACCUAUUUUAUUCAUAAUAAAAGCCAUGGGUGAAAUUUUCAGUACGGUUUUUCUUUAUUACAGCUCAGUUCCCAGAAAUAAAAAUCCAUUCCAAGAGGCCAUUGUUUUUGUGGUGGGAGGAGGCAACUACAUUGAAUAUCAGAAUCUUGUUGACUACAUAAAGGGGAAACAAGGCAAACACAUUUUAUAUGGCUGCAGUGAGCUUUUUAAUGCUACACAGUUCAUAAAACAGUUGUCACAACUUGGACAAAAGUAACACAGAAGAACCUUACUAUGAUAAUCUACUUGGAAUGUGGAUAAAUGUAAAAA
rnacentral:sRNA from 1 species